CUGGGAGCUGUCUGGCAGAACAGCUUGGAUUCCACGAGGUGCCACAUGCCAUCUUUUUCCACCAAUCCUGGCAGUGGGAGGUUAUAUUUAAAACCCAGCUUUGGAUGUGGUGAACUAUAGUUGAAUUUGGCCUCAGUGCACAGACAUGUUUGGAUAAAAUGUACCAGUUUUUGUUGAGACUCACUGCUUGAGCAAUGCACAGGAUUCAUGCUUCUUUUCUGAUUUGCUUGGAAUUCUUCUCAGAAGAUUUUCUCAAACAGAAGAAAAUUCAAGGAUCGUAUCCAUUUUGGGAAUCUUUGGAGGACACAAAGCUGUCCAACAGGAAAAGGGAUGAACUUUCAAGAUUUCCUGGAGCCCAGAGAAACCAUCAACUCUGACUUCUACAUCACAAUGCUGACUAAGCUGAAGGUUUGAACUUCAAGAGUCAGGCCAGAGAAGAAGACAACCUUUGUCUUAUAACACAAUAACACCAAACCCAACACCAGUUUGAAGACUGUGGAACACACUGUCAAUCUGGGGUGGGUUGUCCUACCACACCCACCAUAUUUUCUUGGACUUGGCAUCUUCUGAUUUCCAUUUGUAUGGGCUGAUGAAAGAUGGACAGCAUGAACAAUAUUUUCCUAUCUACAACACUGUCAAGCAGCUGUGAAACAGUGGGUCACCUCUGCAAGUGCAGAUUUUAUGAGUGUGGCAUGCAGGCUCUUGUUCAU